AUGAACAAAAGAAACAAGUUGAAUGCAUCAGGAGCUUAUAGUUCUCCAACCCAGGCAAUAGAUGAGGAAGGUGAACUUCAACGACCCCCCGGACGCAACACUUCAAAAGACACAAAAGAUAAACAUAAGUCAUCAAGCAAGUCUAAAUGCUCUGGAAGCUUGACAAGUGAGAGCGUGGACAAAUUUAAUGAGAUUCAACUACGAAAAUCAAUUGCUGCAGAGAAAAUGGCCGAUGCCACCCUUAUUCAAGCAGAAGCCACAAAAGUUCAAGCAGAAGCUGAGAAAGAAAGAGUUGAAACUGAGAAGGAGAAGAUAAAGGUGGACAAACUGAACAAAUACCUUGAUCUUCUUCACAAAGAUACUUCAGCAUACUCAAGUGCUGCAAGGUACAGCUCCAGAGGUUCACUUUGA
rnacentral:rRNA from 1 species